GAUACAAGCUGCAAAGACAAGCACCAACUGCAAGCUUGCUUGCAAGAGGGUGCCUAAUCUUUAGAUGCGCAAACAAUAUGAGUAAGUAGCCGUUUUUCGCAGAAAAACGAGUGGAUUACGAAUAUUGUUUAGGGAUUGCGAGAGGCGAAGCCGUAGCAAUCCUGUA
rnacentral:sRNA from 1 species